CUUGAUGCCAAGCUAGUACUAAGGAUCUGAGUAAGAUUUAGCAUAGUGGAUUCCAAUAAUUUGGCCAAAGUUAGAAAGGUUUGAGGAGAGGAAAUUUUCCCACUACCUUUUGGGUUACUUUGUCAAAGCCUGU